ACGCUCGACACCUACGAGAGGCAGCAGUGGGGAAUAUUGCACAAUGGGGGAAACCCUGAUGCAGCGACGCCGCGUGAGCGAAGAAGUAUCUCGGUAUGUAAAGCUCUAUCAGCAGGGAAGAAGAUGACGGUACCUGACUAAGAAGCACCGGCUAAAUACGUGCCAGCAGCCGCGGUAAUCUGAGCGGGCUGGCAAGGC
rnacentral:rRNA from 1 species